rnacentral:rRNA from 1 species
UACGGAGGGGGCUAGCGUUGUUCGGAAUUACUGGGCGUAAAGCGCACGUAGGCGGCUUUGUAAGUUAGAGGUGAAAGCCCGGGGCUCAACUCCGGAAUUGCCUUUAAGACUGCAUCGCUAGAAUUGUGGAGAGGUAAGUGGAAUUCCGAGUGUAGAGGUGAAAUUCGUAGAUAUUCGGGAGAACACCAGUGGCGAAGGCGACUUACUGGACACAUAUUGACGCUGAGGUGCGAAAGCGUAGGGAGCAAACAGG